GGGCCCGCACAAGCGGUGGAGCAUGUGGUUUAAUUCGACGCAACGCGAAGAACCUUACCCAGGCUUGAACUGCAGGUGACAACCUACGAAAGUAGGCUUCCGCAAGGACGCCUGUAGAGGUGCUGCAUGGCUGUCGUCAGCUCGUGUCGUGAGAUGUUGGGUUAAGUCCCGCAACGAGCGCAACCCUUGUCUUCUGUUGCCAUCGGGUCAAGCCGGGCACUCUGAAGAGACUGCCGGUGACAAACCGGAGGAAGGUGGGGAUGACGUCAAGUCAGCAUGGCCUUUAUGUCUGGGGCCACACACGUGCUACAAUGGCCGGUACAAACCGUCGCGAGCCCGCGAGGGGGAGCUAAUCGGAUAAAGCCGGUCUCAGUUCGGAUUGCAGGCUGCAACUCGCCUGCAUGAAGUUGGAAUCGCUAGUAAUCGCGGAUCAGCACGCCGCGGUGAAUACGUUCCCGGGCCUU
rnacentral:rRNA from 1 species